GUUUUUCUUCACCAGAGGAAGUUUGUUCACUAAAGGAGGUCUUAACAUCAUCUGUGUACCGUCUCCUUACACACACACACACACGUUUCACAUAACCGUUGCAGUCUCACUUGUUCAGUCUUUAAGAAUGUCAUUGUGUGGAUUUUUCUUCACAUCACUUCUUAUCUUUUCUGCUCAUUUUCUCCAAACCUGCGCAGGCGGAGCUUUGGAUCCGGAGAAUCCUGGCUAUCCACAGCUGGUGCAGGUGUCCUCAGAUGUGUCCUCAGGCGUGGUGUUACGGUGUCUAGCCCCCCAGGGUCACAGUGGCCGAGUGUUUGAGCUCUACCACGUGCGCACACUCAAACUCUUGGUACAGUUUGACACAGGGCGCUCGUACGCCGACUUUCAGCUCAACACCAGCACUUCAGAUUCCGAGGAUAUCUACUGCUGCCGCUACGACCACAGCGGGUUCAGCAAGUACACCAGGCCCACUCCUCCACCAAGCCCGAACACACCCCCAGCUCCUCCUCAACUCUCGGUCAUACCUCCAGAUGGGUAUGUCCGGCCUGGUCAGGUGGUGGAGUUCCGUUGUCAGGCCCCGCCCACCCUUGCUCCUGUAUCAUUUGUCCUCCAGAAACAACAAAACAUGAUCCACUCCCAGAAUCCUCAGUUCAAGGUGGGGCCAGUGGGCGUGGCUGAUGGGGGCAUGUACAGCUGCUUCUACAUAUUUAACCUAUCAGAGGGAGUUCAAAAGUCUGUCCCCAGCGCACCUGUCUAUGUUAAUGUAGGAGUUAAGCUCCCAGCUCCGCAGUUAUCUCAGCGGGCAGAGGGGGCGCUAGUGUGCAUCGGGUCACCCUCCUACCCUGGUGCUUAUUUCUCCCUGUUCCAACAGGGUUCCUCAUCACCGAUAGCAACACAACACGCCCCCAAGAUUGAACACACCGUGCAAUUCACUGCAUCAGGGCAGCACUCGGAAGGAAGCAUGUACCAAUGUCAGUACAGUGUGCUGCUGGGUAAAAACUGGAUACAUUCUGAACUCAGCUCCCCCAUCGUACUGCAAUGUGUUACAGGAUCUCCUUCCUGCAGCUCAUCUUCUACAGAUAACCAUCCUCCACAUACAGGUUCAAUGGACCUGCCGUUGGUGUGUGGGUCCGUCUCAGCUGCACUGCUCUUCCUGAUGGUGCUCAUAAUCCUGGCCUUUGGGAUUCGCAAAUAUGCUAAAACAGCAGCCAAUAAAAGGAGACAAAGGGAACAGGAGCAGUUCUGGCAGCAGGUCCACUUCAGAGACCACAUCGUCGAUCUCACACUACAGAGAGUCAGCACUGGCUCCAAGGAGGAGGGAUUAACUUCAGUGUUGGAGCCCAUCUACGAAUCUCCAGUCAGCACAUUCACCCGCCCACCUGGCUACUGACACACUCGUGCGCUCUCUCUCUCUCUCUCUCUCUCUCUCUCUCUCUCUCGGCGACAGUGCAUAGUGAGAGCGCUACACACACAGACAGAGAGAGAGAUUGCAGAAGGAAGUACAGACAUACUGUUGCUGGAGAGUUGAGCAAUAAAAGCACAUUAUAUCCUGUUAACUACAUCAUUAUCAUCAGUGGAUCAGUGCAAGCAAUGCUGCUUGUGUAACUAUGUACACUUUUAUUGAUCGCUAAAUGUUUGAGGUGUUAUGAACAUUUAUAACUCUGUAGAUGUUCAGUACAGACUGUACUCCAACAGGCUCAGUGAGAAGUGCAAAAUAACUCACUGUUCAUCCCAUUUAUAGCUGAAUGCAAAUUACACUUCUGUCUGGCUGUGUCUUUGUCUUUCCAAUACAGCUUUUUGACUUCCUCUAACCAGAGUGUGUAUUAGACACUUUAUUAGGUCUUCACUGCUCUCCUUAGUUUUUCAUCAUCAUUUUUAAAAAAAAAUUUUUAUUAUUAUUAUUUUUUUAUUUAUUUUUUUUAUCACAUUUCUGGUUAAAGCAUGUGUAAGUCAAUAAUAAAGAAAUGGUGUGGUCCAUUAUAGGGGGGAUUGGGUAGCAAAAUUAUAUUUUGGUAUUGGCAAUGAAAGUUAUUUUGUGUGUGUGUUUUAAGAACAUAUCCAACCUUUGUCUUUAAUCUCCUAUUAGUGAUCGGUGGAGUACAGGGAGGGUUAAUGUGUUAAUUCAGGAGUUCAGACCCCCUCAAGAACACCCUUUAGUCAAAAGUUCAUGGGCUGUUCCACAUCUUUAUCCGCUCAGGUGACAGUAUUUAAUGAGAAGAAAGGUGUAGAGAUGCUCCUGAGGCUAAUCUUAAUCACAUUAAUGAGCAUUAACAUUGAACAUUUUAGCCAAGUGUCUUCACAACAUCAGGAUUUUUAGUUCAUCUGGUUUAGCUUAAUUAGUCAGUUGUUGUUAAUCAGGGUUAGGUAAUCUGGUUAAAUUGAUCCUCAUUAUUUGAACUUUGGUUUUAGGUGAUCCGGUUUAGUAUUAGUUUGUAUUAUAAUAACCACUGCAAUUUAAUCUGUUCUUUAAGUAGUUAAAUUACCUACAUUGUGUAAAAACUGGUGUUAAUACUGAACACUAAAUUGAUUUUUUUAAAACCAUUUUUGUCCUAAAAUAGCCAAAUAAACAUCAUUUGUGUACAGUCAUGAUUCACCUGUUAUCACUUUAAAGGAUUUUGUUCUCCUUUGUAUGUAAAUAAAGGUCUGAAUGUGCGGGUUAAGCCUGGGAAGG
ensembl:lncRNA